GGGUUGUGAGGUUAAGCGACUAAGCGUACACGGUGGAUGCCCUGGCAGUCAGAGGCGAUGAAGGACGUGCUAAUCUGCGAAAAGCGUCGGUAAGGUGAUAUGAACCGUUAUAACCGGCGAUGUCCGAAUGGGGAAACCCAGUGUGAUUCGUCACACUAUCGUUAACUGAAUACAUAGGUUAACGAGGCGAACCGGGGGAACUGAAACAUCUAAGUACCCCGAGGAAAAGAAAUCAACCGAGAUUCCCCCAGUAGCGGCGAGCGAACGGGGAGCAGCCCAGAGUCUGAAUCAGCUUGUGUGUUAGUGGAACGGUCUGGAAAGUCCGACGGUACAGGGUGAUAGUCCCGUACACCAAAAUGCACAGGUUGUGAACUCGAAGAGUAGGGCGGGACACGUGGUAUCCUGUCUGAAUAUGGGGGGACCAUCCUCCAAGGCUAAAUACUCCUGACUGACCGAUAGUGAACCAGUACCGUGAGGGAAAGGCGAAAAGAACCCCGGCGAGGGGAGUGAAAAAGAACCUGAAACCGUGUACGUACAAGCAGUGGGAGCACCUUCGGGUGUGACUGCGUACCUUUUGUAUAAUGGGUCAGCGACUUAUAUUCUGUAGCAAGGUUAACCGUAUAGGGGAGCCGCAGGGAAACCGAGUCUUAACUGGGCGUUAAGUUGCAGGGUAUAGACCCGAAACCCGGUGAUCUAGCCAUGGGCAGGUUGAAGGUUGGGUAACACUAACUGGAGGACCGAACCGACUAAUGUUGAAAAAUUAGCGGAUGACUUGUGGCUGGGGGUGAAAGGCCAAUCAAACCGGGAGAUAGCUGGUUCUCCCCGAAAGCUAUUUAGGUAGCGCCUCGUGAACUCAUCUUCGGGGGUAGAGCACUGUUUCGGCUAGGGGGUCAUCCCGACUUACCAACCCGAUGCAAACUACGAAUACCGAAGAAUGUUAUCACGGGAGACACACGGCGGGUGCUAACGUCCGUCGUGAAGAGGGAAACAACCCAGACCGCCAGCUAAGGUCCCAAAGUCAUGGUUAAGUGGGAAACGAUGUGGGAAGGCACAGACAGCCAGGAUGUUGGCUUAGAAGCAGCCAUCAUUUAAAGAAAGCGUAAUAGCUCACUGGUCGAGUCGGCCUGCGCGGAAGAUGUAACGGGGCUAAACCAUGCACCGAAGCUGCGGCAGCGACACUAUGUGUUGUUGGGUAGGGGAGCGUUCUGUAAGCCUGCGAAGGUGUGCUGUGAGGCAUGCUGGAGGUAUCAGAAGUGCGAAUGCUGACAUAAGUAACGAUAAAGCGGGUGAAAAGCCCGCUCGCCGGAAGACCAAGGGUUCCUGUCCAACGUUAAUCGGGGCAGGGUGAGUCGACCCCUAAGGCGAGGCCGAAAGGCGUAGUCGAUGGGAAACAGGUUAAUAUUCCUGUACUUGGUGUUACUGCGAAGGGGGGACGGAGAAGGCUAUGUUAGCCGGGCGACGGUUGUCCCGGUUUAAGCAUGUAGGCUGGUUGUCCAGGCAAAUCCGGAUAAUCAAGGCUGAGGUGUGAUGACGAGGCACUACGGUGCUGAAGUAACAAAUGCCCUGCUUCCAGGAAAAGCCUCUAAGCAUCAGGUAACAUUAAAUCGUACCCCAAACCGACACAGGUGGUCAGGUAGAGAAUACCAAGGCGCUUGAGAGAACUCGGGUGAAGGAACUAGGCAAAAUGGUGCCGUAACUUCGGGAGAAGGCACGCUGGUGUGUAGGUGAAGCCCCUGCGGGUGGAGCUGAGACCAGUCGAAGAUACCAGCUGGCUGCAACUGUUUAUUAAAAACACAGCACUGUGCAAACACGAAAGUGGACGUAUACGGUGUGACGCCUGCCCGGUGCCGGAAGGUUAAUUGAUGGGGUUAUCCGUAAGGAGAAGCUCUUGAUCGAAGCCCCGGUAAACGGCGGCCGUAACUAUAACGGUCCUAAGGUAGCGAAAUUCCUUGUCGGGUAAGUUCCGACCUGCACGAAUGGCGUAAUGAUGGCCAGGCUGUCUCCACCCGAGACUCAGUGAAAUUGAACUCGCUGUGAAGAUGCAGUGUACCCGCGGCAAGACGGAAAGACCCCGUGAACCUUUACUAUAGCUUGACACUGAACAUUGAGCCUUGAUGUGUAGGAUAGGUGGGAGGCUUUGAAGCGUGGACGCCAGUCUGCGUGGAGCCAACCUUGAAAUACCACCCUUUAAUGUUUGAUGUUCUAACGUUGGCCCCUGACCGGGGUUGCGGACAGUGUCUGGUGGGUAGUUUGACUGGGGCGGUCUCCUCCCAAAGCGUAACGGAGGAGCACGAAGGUUAGCUAAUCCUGGUCGGACAUCAGGAGGUUAGUGCAAUGGCAUAAGCUAGCUUGACUGCGAGCGUGACGGCGCGAGCAGGUGCGAAAGCAGGUCAUAGUGAUCCGGUGGUUCUGAAUGGAAGGGCCAUCGCUCAACGGAUAAAAGGUACUCCGGGGAUAACAGGCUGAUACCGCCCAAGAGUUCAUAUCGACGGCGGUGUUUGGCACCUCGAUGUCGGCUCAUCACAUCCUGGGGCUGAAGUAGGUCCCAAGGGUAUGGCUGUUCGCCAUUUAAAGUGGUACGCGAGCUGGGUUUAGAACGUCGUGAGACAGUUCGGUCCCUAUCUGCCGUGGGCGCUGGAGAAUUGAGGGGGGCUGCUCCUAGUACGAGAGGACCGGAGUGGACGCAUCACUGGUGUUCGGGUUGUCAUGCCAAUGGCACUGCCCGGUAGCUAAAUGCGGAAGAGAUAAGUGCUGAAAGCAUCUAAGCACGAAACUUGCCCCGAGAUGAGUUCUCCCUGAGACUUUAAGUCUCCUGAAGGAACGUUGAAGACGACGACGUUGAUAGGCCGGGUGUGUAAGCGCAGCGAUGCGUUGAGCUAACCGGUACUAAUGAACCGUGAGGCUUAACCUUACAACGCCGAAG
rnacentral:rRNA from 1 species